GUGGGGAAUUUUGGACAAUGGGCGAAAGCCUGAUCCAGCAAUGCCGCGUGCAGGAUGAAGGCCCUCGGGUUGUAAACUGCUUUUGUACGAAACGAAAAGCCUGGGGCUAAUAUCCCCGGGUCAUGACGGUACCGUAAGAAUAAGCACCGGCUAACUACGUGCCAGCAGCCGCGGUAAUACGUAGGGUGCAAGCGUUAAUCGGAAUUACUGGGCGUAAAGCGUGCGCAGGCGGUUUUGUAAGACAGUGGUGAAAUCCCCGGGCUCAACCUGGGAACUGCCAUUGUGACUGCAAGGCUAGAGUGCGGCAGAGGGGGAUGGAAUUCCGCGUGUAGCAGUGAAAUGCGUAGAUAUGCGGAGGAACACCGAUGGCGAAGGCAAUCCCCUGGGCCUGCACUGACGCUCAUGCACGAAAGCGUGGGGAGCAAACAGGAUUAGAAACCCCGGUAGUCC
rnacentral:rRNA from 1 species